GUGCCAGCCGCCGCGGUAAUACCGGCAGCCCGAGUGAUGGCCGAUCUUAUUGGGCCUAAAGCGUUCGUAGCCUGCCAAUCAGGUUCGUCGGGAAAUCCACGCGCUCAACGUGUGGGCGUCCGGCGAAUACCGAUUGGCUUGGGACCGGAGGACCCGAGGGGUACGUCCGGGGUAGGAGUGAAAUCCUGUAAUCCCGGACGGACCACCGGUGGCGAAGGCGCCUCGGGAGGACGGAUCCGACGGUGAGGAACGAAAGCUGGGGUCACGAACCGGAUUAGAUACCCGGGUAGUCC
rnacentral:rRNA from 1 species